CCUCGCCGGUCGCCGCGGCAGCCAGUGAUGCCCGAGCGGCGGGUUCCCAGGCCCAGGUGUGGGCGCCACCGCCCACCAUGCGCCAAGCCCAGAGCCUGGUUGAAUCGUUCGCCACCUUGUCUACCCAUUUUGGCCAUUAUCCUGCCACCUCCAAAUCCUGUUUUUGACACUUCUCGGGAGAGAGAGAAAACGGAAAGAUAAAGGAAUAAACUCCUCGUGGUCGUAGUUAGUGGGUAAAUUCAGAUCUCGUUUGAACCGAGGUUUUUCUUAUCUCCAGCCACCGUAUCCACCACCACCAGAAUCGUCUUUUUAGUCAUCACAGCUGGUCGCCGUCAGUACCUUGUUCAGAAGCCUCUCGCAGCUUCCAUCGUGUGGUUAUACAAUCCAAAUUCCUUAUAAAGUCCAAAUUCAAGAGGAGGAAUGCACGUUUAGUUAAGUUAAUGUCUAGACCUUACCAGCCAAUUUCUAGCUCCUCAGUAUGGAAAUUGCAACUGAAAACACCCCUUCCAAAAAAAGCAGUCUGCAUUUUUCUCUGAGUUUUCUUCUCCAAAUUUCGCACCCCUGACCUUGCUUACACACUCUGGAUACCACCUGCUGUGGAGUGGCGGAAGCAGACAUCCAGCGAUAGCUAAGUUUCCUGUCGUUGACACCCAAGCAAGACAGGCGUGUACCUAACUGAGGACCUGCCGGUGAUAGAAGUCUCAGCUUUUCUCAGAGACAGAUGAGUCUUCCCUUUAAAUGCUGCAAAGUGCUGCAUAGUAGAUGUUAAAUGAAAGUCAGAAAGAAUCAAAUGUGCUGCAAAUAAUUGAAGGCCACCAGGAACACACCUGUAGCUCAGCAAAGUUGAAGCCAUCGACUGGCUCAUCACAACAAGGAAGGCUGUGCACCACCAGGACCCAGCAGCAGCUCAGCAGCAGCAGUGAGAGGGCCUUGGGAAAGACUUGGAGGGUUUGGCUUAUACAAGGUGAUCUUGGGGAGGGCCAAGGAAACAGGCUGUGAUGGUUAAUAUUGAGUGUCAACUUGAUUGGAUUGAAGGAUGCAAAGGAUUAUUCCUGGGUGUAUAUGUGAGAGUGUGGCCAAAGGAGAUUAACUUUUUAAUCAGUGGACUGGGAGAGGCACACCCACCCUCAAUCUGGGUGGGCAUCAUCUAAUCAGCUGCCACAGCAGCUAAA
rnacentral:lncRNA from 1 species